GGACCUGACUGCUAUCGGAUUGAUACUAAGCCAUGCGAGUCAUUGUAACAAGUACAAGGCAUACAGCUCACUAACACGUACUCAACCUAACCUAUGGACGGGAAUAACCUCGGGAAACUGAUAAUAAUGCCCGAUACAACAUUAUGCCUGGAAUGGUUUAUGUUCCAAAUGAUUUAUCGCCAUACGAUGGGACUGCGGCCUAUCAGUUUGUUGGUGAGGUAAUGGCCCACCAAGACUAUUACAGGCACGGGCUCUGAGAGGAGUAGCCCGGAGAUGGGUACUGAGACACGGACCCACGCCCUAUGGGGCGCAUCAGGCGAGAAAACUUUGCAAUGUGCGAAAGCACGACAAGGUUAAUCCGAGUGGUUUCUGCUAAAGAAACCUUUUGUCAGUCCUAGAAACACUGAUGAAUAAUGGGAGGGCAAGUUCUGGUGU
rnacentral:rRNA from 1 species